rnacentral:rRNA from 1 species
ACGCUGGCGGCAGGCCUAACACAUGCAAGUCGAGCGGUAGGGAGAAGCUUGCUUCUCUUGAGAGCGGCGGACGGGUGAGUAAUGCCUAGGAAUCUGCCUGGUAGUGGGGGAUAACGUUCGGAAACGGACGCUAAUACCGCAUACGUCCUACGGGAGAAAGCAGGGGACCUUCGGGCCUUGCGCUAUCAGAUGAGCCUAGGUCGGAUUAGCUAGUUGGUGAGGUAAUGGCUCACCAAGGCGACGAUCCGUAACUGGUCUGAGAGGAUGAUCAGUCACACUGGAACUGAGACACGGUCCAGACUCCUACGGGAGGCAGCAGUGGGGAAUAUUGGACAAUGGGCGAAAGCCUGAUCCAGCCAUGCCGCGUGUGUGAAGAAGGUCUUCGGAUUGUAAAGCACUUUAAGUUGGGAGGAAGGGUUGUAGAUUAAUACUCUGCAAUUUUGACGUUACCGACAGAAUAAGCACCGGCUAACUCUGUGCCAGCAGCCGCGGUAAUACAGAGGGUGCAAGCGUUAAUCGGAAUUACUGGGCGUAAAGCGCGCGUAGGUGGUUUGUUAAGUUGGAUGUGAAAUCCCCGGGCUCAACCUGGGAACUGCAUUCAAAACUGACUGACUAGAGUAUGGUAGAGGGUGGUGGAAUUUCCUGUGUAGCGGUGAAAUGCGUAGAUAUAGGAAGGAACACCAGUGGCGAAGGCGACCACCUGGACUAAUACUGACACUGAGGUGCGAAAGCGUGGGGAGCAAAC